UACAGAGGGUGCAAGCGUUGUUCGGAAUUAUUGGGCGUAAAGCGCGUGUAGGCGGCUUGGCAAGUCGGGUGUGAAAUCCCUCAGCUCAACUGAGGAAGUGCGCCCCGAAAACUGCUUUGCUUGAGUGCCGGAGAGGAUGGCGGAAUUCCCCAAGUAGAGGUGAAAAUUCGUAGAUAUGGGGGAGGAACACCGGUGGCGAAGGCGGGCCAUCUGGACGGUAACUGACGCUGAGACGCGAAAGCGUGGGGAGCAAACAGG
rnacentral:rRNA from 1 species